AAAAAUUUGUGUUGCUGCAGUUCAAAACGGAAAAUCCAUCUCCUUUGGAUAUCACAACCAAAACAAGAACCGCCCGAGUGAACUCUUCCUCUACCUCCAAACAAAAACAACUUCAUGCGUAACUCAAUAUACAAUGUUAAUGCCUCUCCCUAACAAAGAAUAACCUGCUCAUACUACAAGAUCGAAAACUUUAGAAAAGAAUCAUGCUGCCAGACAUUGAGAAGAAACGAAAAAGGAAUCUCAAUAGGCAGGCAUCAUUUCAACUACAGAAGUAUAUUCACGCGAACUUGUUAGGCACAAAACCAUUAGGUACUGGGAAUUGCAUAGGCCGCAUAACAGGAAAAG
rnacentral:misc_RNA from 1 species